ACCGAGAUGGUGAAAUAGGUAAACACGCUACUUUGAGGAAGUAGUACCUUGAUUAUUAAGGUUUAUGGGUUCAAAUCCCAUUCUCGGUA
rnacentral:tRNA from 1 species